AAUAGUUCUGGCGAUGAAGCUCGCCCUUUAAAAGUGCCAAUCUGGCUGAUAGCUUCUGACCUGGU
rnacentral:ncRNA from 1 species